AUUGAACGCUGGCGGCAGGCCUAACACAUGCAAGUCGAGCGGUAGAGAGAAGCUUGCUUCUCUUGAGAGCGGCGGACGGGUGAGUAAUGCCUAGGAAUCUGCCUGGUAGUGGGGGAUAACGUCCGGAAACGGACGCUAAUACCGCAUACGUCCUACGGGAGAAAGCAGGGGACCUUCGGGCCUUGCGCUAUCAGAUGAGCCUAGGUCGGAUUAGCUAGUUGGUGGGGUAAUGGCUCACCAAGACGACGAUCCGUAACUGGUCUGAGAGGAUGAGCAGUCACGCUGGAACUGAGAGACGGUCCAGACUCCUACGGGAGGCAGCAGUGGGGAAUAGUGGACAAUGGGCGAGAGCCUGAUCCAGCCAUGCCGCGUGUGUGAAGAAGGUCUUCGGAUUGUACAGCACUUUAAGUUGGGAGGAAGGGCAGUAAAUUAAUACUUUGCUGUUUUGACGUUACCGACAGAAUAAGCACCGGCUAUCUCUGUGCCAGCCGCCGCCGUAAAAC
rnacentral:rRNA from 1 species